UUAAGCGUUGCCGACCCUUGAGAACCCUAAAUACCCGCUUCUUGAAGAGUCCCAUGUCGUAGCGCAAAGGAAAUACCUCAGGAGGCAAGUCAUUCCACAUUCUGCACGUUCUGGGAAGAAACGAGCGAGAUGCCCGCUUAUUCUUGGUGUGCCAUGUAUCUAAGAAGUGGGGAUGAACUUUGCUCCUUUGGCGGGAGGUGCGGUGAUAAAAACGAGACGAUGGCACCAAAUCAAAAAGUUCUUCCGAGCAUUCCCCAUUGUACAGACGGUUCGGGAUCGCCGACAAUACGAACUGCCCGCCGUUGGAUGGAGUCAAGAGGAAGGAGCUGGUAUUUCGGGGCGCCAGACCAGAGAUGAGAACAGUACUCCAUAUGAGGUCGAACCUGCGCUUUAUAUAACAAAAGCCGGUGACUAGGUGUGAAGUACUGUUUGGCUCUGUUAAGCACCCCAAGCUUUUUGGAGGCCAGUUUGGCUUUAUGUUCCAAAUGACUACGAAACUGGACUUCGUUCGUAAUGUCGACACCAAGUAUCCCGAUACUUUUAG